AACGCACCUUGCACUCUUUGGUAUUCCGAAGAGUAUGUCUGUUUGAGUGUCAUGAAACUAUCAACCCCCUUGUUUUGCAAUGAAGCUAGCGUGGGCUUGGAUUAUGGCUGUUGCCGGCGUAAUUGUCGACUCGGCUGAAAUACACGAGCUACCCAUUUCGUAAGAAAUAGACGGUUUGACUCGGCGUAAUAACAUAUUUCGCUGAGGACGUCACAUUCUUCAUACAGUGGUGCUUCUAAUCAACAUCUAAACUUAAGCUUUAGACCUCAAAUCAGUCAGGACUACCCGCUGAACUUAA
rnacentral:misc_RNA from 1 species